UACGGAGGGUGCAAGCGUUAUCCGGAUUUAUUAGGUUUAAAGGGUCCGCAGGCGGAAUAUUAAGUCAGUGGUGAAAGCCUACAGCUCAACUGUAGAACUGCCAUUGAAACUGUUAUUCUUGAGUAUGGAUGAAGUGGGCGGAAUAUGUCAUGUAGCGGUGAAAUGCAUAGAUAUGACAUGGAACACCAAUUGCGAAGGCAGCUCACUAAACCAUUACUGACGCUCAUGGACGAAAGCGUGGGGAGCGAACAGG
rnacentral:rRNA from 1 species